GAUGAACGCUAGCGGCAGGCCUAAUACAUGCAAGUCGGACGGGAUUGGGGAGCUUGCUCCCCAUGAGAGUGGCGCACGGGUGCGUAACACGUAUGUAACCUACCUUCGUCAGGGGAUAGCCUCUCGAAAGAGAGAUUAAGACCGCAUAAAAUCACAAUGUGGCAUCACAAAAUGAUCAAAUAUUUAUAGGACGAAGAUGGGCAUGCGGAACAUA
rnacentral:rRNA from 1 species